rnacentral:rRNA from 1 species
UUAAGAAUAUUGCGCAAUGGGCGAAAGCCUGACGCAGCAAUGCCGCGUGAGUGAUGAAGGCUCUAGGGUUGUAAAACUCAGUGAGAUGGGAAGAAUAAGCAUGGUCGAAUAGGCCAUGUGAUGACGGUACCAUCCUGAAGCCCCGGCUAAUUACGUGCCAGCAGCCGCGGUAAUACGUAUGGGGCAAGCGUUGUUCGGAUUUAUUGGGCGUAAAGGGCACGCAGGCGGAUCAUUAAGUUGGGUGUUUAACCUUCAGGCUCAACCUGAAGUCGGCACCCAAAACUGGUAAUCUAGAGUCAUGGAGAGGAAAGCGGAAUUCUCGGUGUAGCGGUGGAAUGCGUAGAUAUCGAGAGGAACACUAGUGGCGAAGGCGAGACUCUGGACGACAACUGACGCUGAGAGACGAAGGCCAGGGG